CUGUACUGUAAAAUUUACCCUUUUAAAGUGUAUAAUUCAGUGGCUUUUGUAUAUUCACAGUGUUGUGCAACUGUCACCACUAUGGAAUUCCAGAGCAUUCACCUCACCCCGGAAGGAAACCCUGCGCCCACUACCAGUCACUCUCUAUUACCGCUCCCCACCACCUCCUGGCAACCCAGUCUACUUUCUGUCUCGUUCUCUGCAGAUACCAACUGGGUGUCCUCCAGUUCACUUCAGGUCUGACCCCAACUACCCAGAGUUAGCCCCGCCCCCACAGGCGAAGGGCUCAGUCCACAAGACUGCCCCUCCUCCACAUGUCAACUGCAUGUCCACCUGCCCAACCAGCUGUAAAUCGGAGAUUCCCACAAUCCCCUCCUCAGGUUCGUUAUUGUAUGACAUGCUCUUCCCUCGGAUGGGGCAAGUGGCACUGAGAAGGCGUCCUGGAGCGGGUACCCUCUGGGUCUGGACUGGGGAGGCGGGAGAGGCAGUCUGUCACCUGGCGCUCUCGUAAUUCACUCCCUACCUCAGCGGUAAACCCUGCUUCCUGAAGGCUCUCAGGUUCUCGCAGGCAGUCCUUGCUCCUCCGGGACUCUUCAGCAAUCUAACUUCUCACCGUUAAGAAGAAACUAUUCUGUUCGAAUGAACAGCCCCGCUGCUAAUGCUGCUAAUCGUGAGCUGGAAAGGGAAUCUUGGCAAGUCAGAAGCUGCCCAGCAGGUGCAGGGGCCUGUGAGCUCCUGGCAGGCCACCCUGCUCCCGUCCCCUGCCAGGCGUGCACUGCAGGGUAAAGGCCAACAUGAAUCUGAGACUCUGGUCGCUCGUGCAGAACUCCAGAACAACCCAGG
rnacentral:lncRNA from 1 species